UACGGAGGGUGCGAGCGUUAUCCCGGGAUUCACUGGGUUUAAAGGGUGCGUAGGUGGGAAUGUAAGUCAGUGGUGAAAUCUCUGAGCUUAACUCAGAAACUGCCAUUGAUACUAUGUUUCUUGAAUUUUCUGGAGGUCAGCCGGAAUAUGUCAUGUAGCGGUGCAAAUGACUUAGAUAUGACAUAGAACACCAAUUGCGAAGGCAGCUGGCUACAGGGAUAUUGACACUGACGGCACGAAAGCGCUGGGGAGUCAAA
rnacentral:rRNA from 1 species